rnacentral:SRP_RNA from 1 species
GCCAGGCAUGGUGGUGUAUGCUUGUAAUCCCAGCUAUUCAGGAGGCUGAGGUAGGAGGAUCACUUGAGCCCAGGAGGUCGAGGCUGCAGUGAGCCUUGAUUGUGCCACCACACUCCAGCCUGGGCAACAGAGCGAGAUCCUGUCUCAA